UACAGAGGUCCCGAGCGUUGUUCGGAUUCACUGGGCGUAAAGGGUGCGCAGGUGGGUUUGCAAGUUUGAUGUGAAAGCCCCGGGCUUAACCCGGGAAUGGCAUUGAAUACUGCAGAUCUGGAGGAUCGGAGGGGGGACUGGAAUUCUUGGUGUAGCAGUGAAAUGCGUAGAUAUCAAGAGGAACACCAGUGGCGAAGGCGGCUUCCUGGCCUGUUCUUGACGCUGAGGCGCGAAAGCUAGGGGAGCAAACGGG
rnacentral:rRNA from 1 species